UAACCGGAUUAGAUACCCUGGUAGUCCACGCCCUAAACGAUGCGAACUGGAUGUUGGUCUCAACUCGGAGAUCAGUGUCGAAGCUAACGCGUUAAGUUCGCCGCCUGGGGAGUACGGUCGCAAGACUGAAACUCAAAGGAAUUGACGGGGGCCCGCACAAGCGGUGGAGUAUGUGGUUUAAUUCGAUGCAACGCGAAGAACCUUACCUGGCCUUGGCAUGUCUGGAAUCCUGCAGAGAUGCGGGAGUGCCUUCGGGAAUCAGAACACAGGUGCUGCAUGGCUGUCGUCAGCUCGUGUCGUGAGAUGUUGGGUUAAGUCCCGCAACGAGCGCAACCCUUGUCCUUAGUUGCCAGCACGUAAUGGUGGGAACUCUAAGGAGACUGCCGGUGACAAACCGGAGGAAGGUGGGGAUGACGUCAAGUCCUCAUGGCCCUUACGGCCAGGGCUACACACGUACUACAAUGGUCGGUACAGAGGGUUGCAAUACCGCGAGGUGGAGCCAAUCCCAGAAAGCCGAUCCCAGUCCGGAUCGGAGUCUGCAACUCGACUCCGUGAAGUCGGAAUCGCUAGUAAUCGCGGAUCAACUAUGCCGCGGUGAAUACGUUCCCGGGCCUUGUACACACCGCCCGUCACACCAUGGGAGUGAGUUGCUCCAGAAGCCGUUAGUCUAACCGCAAGGGGGACGACGACCACGGAGUGGUUCAUGACUGGGGUGAAGUCGUAACAAGGUAACCGUA
rnacentral:rRNA from 1 species